AGCACGUUACGGAUUAGUACGUAGUACAGCACUGGUAAGAGAGCGAUAUUCAUCGGCUGCAAGGUAUCGCACAGUUGCCCUACCGAACCUACCCUAACAUUAAGCCCUACUAAUACUAGGCGCGGUCUCGGCGUUAUAGAGCAUGAAGUGGAGCUAAGUAUAGCUCAAUUUAGGUGGUACCACGGAAAGCAACCCUUUUCGUCCUAGUG
rnacentral:ncRNA from 1 species